UACGGGGGGAGCAAGCGUUGUUCGGAUUUACUGGGCGUAAAGGGCGCGUAGGCGGCCACCGCAAGUCAGUUGUGAAAGCCUCUGGGCUUAACCCAGAAAGGUCAGCUGAUACUGCGGGGCUAGAGUGCAGAAGGGGCAACUGGAAUUCUCGGUGUAGCGGUGAAAUGCGUAGAUAUCGAGAGGAACACCUGCGGCGAAGGCGGGUUGCUGGGCUGACACUGACGCUGACAGCGCGAAAGCUAGGGGGAGCAAACAGG
rnacentral:rRNA from 1 species